GGGUUGUGAGGUUAAGCGACUAAGCGUACACGGUGGAUGCCCUGGCAGUCAGAGGCGAUGAAGGGCGUGCUAAUCUGCGAUAAGCGCCGGUAAGGUGAUAUGAACCGUUAUAACCGGCGAUACCCGAAUGGGGAAACCCAGUGUGACUCGUCACACUAUCAUUAACUGAAUCCAUAGGUUAAUGAGGCGAACCGGGGGAACUGAAACAUCUAAGUACCCCGAGGAAAAGAAAUCAACCGAGAUUCCCCCAGUAGCGGCGAGCGAACGGGGAGGAGCCCAGAGCCUGAAUCAGCAUGUGUGUUAGUGGAAGCGUCUGGAAAGGCGCGCGAUACAGGGUGACAGCCCCGUACACAAAAGCGCAUGUGCUGUGAGCUCGAUGAGUAGGGCGGGACACGUGGUAUCCUGUCUGAAUGUGGGGGGACCAUCCUCCAAGGCUAAAUACUCCUGACUGACCGAUAGUGAACCAGUACCGUGAGGGAAAGGCGAAAAGAACCCCGGCGAGGGGAGUGAAAAAGAACCUGAAACCGUGUACGUACAAGCAGUGGGAGCCCCACCACCAAAGCAUUCUCUGGUGUUGAAGGCCCUGCAAAGCAGCAUCGCGGUGGCGGAGCGUCGUUUGCGACGCCCAACACACAAAACAAGCGGUGAGUGCUUUGGGGUGGGGUGACUGCGUACCUUUUGUAUAAUGGGUCAGCGACUUAUAUUCUGUAGCAAGGUUAACCGUAUAGGGGAGCCGUAGGGAAACCGAGUCUUAACCGGGCGUUAAGUUGCAGGGUAUAGACCCGAAACCCGGUGAUCUAGCCAUGGGCAGGUUGAAGGUUGGGUAACACUAACUGGAGGACCGAACCGACUAAUGUUGAAAAAUUAGCGGAUGACUUGUGGCUGGGGGUGAAAGGCCAAUCAAACCGGGAGAUAGCUGGUUCUCCCCGAAAGCUAUUUAGGUAGCGCCUCGUGAAUUCAUCUUCGGGGGUAGAGCACUGUUUCGGCUAGGGGGUCAUCCCGACUUACCAACCCGAUGCAAACUGCGAAUACCGGAGAAUGUUAUCACGGGAGACACACGGCGGGUGCUAACGUCCGUCGUGAAGAGGGAAACAACCCAGACCGCCAGCUAAGGUCCCAAAGUCAUGGUUAAGUGGGAAACGAUGUGGGAAGGCCCAGACAGCCAGGAUGUUGGCUUAGAAGCAGCCAUCAUUUAAAGAAAGCGUAAUAGCUCACUGGUCGAGUCGGCCUGCGCGGAAGAUGUAACGGGGCUAAACCAUGCACCGAAGCUGCGGCAGCGACACUGUGUGUUGUUGGGUAGGGGAGCGUUCUGUAAGCCUGCGAAGGUGGCCUGUGAGGGUUGCUGGAGGUAUCAGAAGUGCGAAUGCUGACAUAAGUAACGAUAAAGCGGGUGAAAAGCCCGCUCGCCGGAAGACCAAGGGUUCCUGUCCAACGUUAAUCGGGGCAGGGUGAGUCGACCCCUAAGGCGAGGCCGAAAGGCGUAGUCGAUGGGAAACAGGUUAAUAUUCCUGUACUUGGUGUUACUGCGAAGGGGGGACGGAGAAGGCUAUGUUGGCCGGGCGACGGUUGUCCCGGUUUAAGCGUGUAGGUGUGUGUUCCAGGUAAAUCCGGUUCACUUUAACACUGAGGCGUGA
rnacentral:rRNA from 2 species